rnacentral:lncRNA from 1 species
GUUGAAACCUGUUAAAUAUGAGUACCUAUUUGUUAUUUACUAGUAAGUUUGAGUUAAAAAUAUAAUAUUUUUGAUAAAGAAUGAAAAAUGUUUAUAGUAGAAUGUCCGAGAAGUGUCGGACACGGACACACCACUCUAAUUGAAGUGUCCAUGCUACAGAGUGUGAAUGUAUUGUGCCUGUCUAUUAUCCAAACUAAGCACAAUCUGUUUCCUCAAAUCUUCUAAAUCAAUCAUGCUUGAAAGUUGCUUCUAUUUUGACAUGCUUGAAAUGACUGAAGUAUAUCGAAUUCUACUGACAUUUUAAAGUCAUAUUUUUUUAACGUAUUAUGAUGCUUUUGAGAAAAACUCCAGAUUUGUAAUAAAUUUUCUCCUUGAAAUUCUGUGAAAGGUAAGUAGUCAGUGACGUCAAUUAGAGGAAUAUUAGUUAGCUUUGAUUAUUGCAUUGUUUAUUGGCAUUGCUGUGGAGUAACAUGCCCUUUUUGUCGUGGCAAACUGUGUAAAUAUGUUCAUUUCCAUUAUUUAUUUCGGUUUCAUUGGCGUCAAGGCAACUAUGGAGAUAUCGACACAAAUUGGGAUAGCCUUGGAGGGAGAAAGAGCAAUUGAAAUCUUGUACUUUGGUGUAAGAAAUUGUUAGUGUUUUCUUAUUCUGCUCAAUCUGAGAUCCUCAGGGUUUUCCUGUGGACAAGAUACUCCACAUUUAUAAUGUAUUUUGGCAAGUUGAUUGUGUAAUGGGACUAUCUAUAUUCGCAGUUUGUUGGAAUCAGUAUUUCAAUUAUCCUUGUAUUCUUUAGAUUGUUAUUCCCCUGCAUUAAACAACACCAUGCCUUUCAGCAGGAGAAAAAACAUGACUGUUGAAGGCAGAGAGUAUGCUUACUCUUGAAUUAACUUUCAAACAUUGUAUAUUGUUAUGUGAUUGGGACAGAAUAAGCUUCGGGAACGAUUGACAGUCAUGUUGGAAGCACUUGUAGGGUUGAACGCGAAGCAGCGCAGUUCAACAAGCCAUCACUAAAAUGGUUUCAUUGUUCUUCUGGUAAAAUUCUAUAGAACUCUCUUAUUUAGAAUUUACAGAUAUUAUAUAUUAAUGCCUGAACAUGCCUUCGCAUCCAGUUUCAUUGAGGAUGGUUUGAGAGUAUCUGCUUAACGUUUUAUCUUGAUAGGCCAGCCAAUUUAAUUUAGGCCCUGUUUGUGGCCCUUUAAGUUCAAAAAUUGGAGUAUGGAAUAGUGAUUGAUGUUGAAAUGUGUGGUUAAAAAAGAAUGAAAACUUUUUGAUUCAUGUGUAAUAUUAUUUUAAUGAAGAAUGUGUGGUUGAAAAUGAGUAUUGUAGAAAAAAUAAUGUGGUAGAAUGUGGGAAAAUGGUUGACAAACAAGGGCUUACCUGUUUCAAACUAGGCAAGUAAUAAAUAAUCUGUUGAUUAUAAGAUCAUUUGUAUCCGUCUCUAUUAGUCUGUCAAGUUCUUUUGUAAGAUUGCAAUGAUUUUCACUGUUUGUUGCUGCUUAUUGUUUAUCCAGGAAAGAUGGUCAUGUCUGGUAGCCCAAUAAAACAGCAUUCCUUGAAAGCAUCACAUUUUUUUUUGCAAUGUAUUUGGCUAUUUAGGGCUGAUUGUUUAUCCAGGAAAGGAAAACAUGUCCAGUGGCCCAGUAGAAGAGCAUUCUACGAAUACAUCAAAUUUGCUUAACACUGAGUCACAGCUGACGGAAAAUCUGCUCUCCUGUAUCAUCCAAUUCCAGCUCCUACAGGCAUGUACUCUUUCCAACUUCAGUGCAACUCCAGCGAAGAAUGUUUCAGCUUUUGACGAGAACAGGGGGAUAGAUGGAAGAACCACAGGAAUACUGCCACUGGUUUGAGUAGUGGUGGAUAAGUAGAUGGGAUUUGUGAUUUCAGUGAGAGGUUGGAAGUUGAAAAUCUCAAAAUUCCUUGAGAAUUAUGUACUUCGACGCAAGAAAAUAUCAGAAUUUCAUGUAGGAUUUAAGGUGGUGUCCAGAAUUGUAUAGAUUCCGAUCACGUUAAUCAAAAUUGACAGACCAUGGCCAGUGGAUGACAACCUUGGACUUUUGUAGGAGAUUCAAGAAUGUUACUUUGAGAGGUGGCGUGGACCAUUUCUACUUAAUCUGCUUGUAGUGAAAUUCCUCAUUUUUAUUCCCUGCAUUUUUUAGUGCUCAGUUUUAUCUUAUAUACUUUGAUUAAUUGUAAUCACAAAAAGGUAAUUUAAAUAUAUAUGUUUCCUUUAUCCUUACCACGAUUCAAAAUAAUUUUAUCUAGCACAAAUGAUGUUUAACGCUAGACUACAAAAUAGUUGGGUUAUUAGUUUGUCAUAUAAUUGGAGCAUCUAACCCCUUCAAUGUGGUU